rnacentral:rRNA from 1 species
GACGAACGCUGGCGGCGUGCUUAACACAUGCAAGUCGAACGCUGAAGCUUGGUGCUUGCACUGGGUGGAUGAGUGGCGAACGGGUGAGUAAUACGUGAGUAACCUGCCCUUGACUCUGGGAUAAGCCUGGGAAACUGGGUCUAAUACUGGAUACGACAUGUCACCGCAUGGUGGUGUGUGGAAAGGGUUUUACUGGUUUUGGAUGGGCUCACGGCCUAUCAGCUUGUUGGUGGGGUAAUGGCUCACCAAGGCGGCGACGGGUAGCCGGCCUGAGAGGGUGACCGGCCACACUGGGACUGAGACACGGCCCAGACUCCUACGGGAGGCAGCAGUGGGGAAUAUUGCACAAUGGGCGGAAGCCUGAUGCAGCGACGCCGCGUGAGGGAUGACGGCCUUCGGGUUGUAAACCUCUUUCAGCACGGAAGAAGCGAAAGUGACGGUACGUGCAGAGGAAGCGCCGGCUAACUACGUG